rnacentral:rRNA from 1 species
GAUGAACGAUGAAAGAAUGCUUAACACAUCAGCAAUUGAUUGGUGGCGGACGGGUGAGUAACGCGUCAAGAACUUAACCCACAGUUAGGGACAACAUUGGGAAACGAAUGCUAAUACCUAAUACUGUGAGAGAGCUUUGCGUCCCAUUAGCUAGUUGGAGAGGUAACGGCUCACCAAGGCGAUGAUGGGUAGCUGGGCUGAGAGGGUGAUCGGCCACAAGGGGACUGAGACACGGCCCUUACUCCAACGGGAGGCAGCAGUGGGGAAUAUUGGACAAUGGACCACAGUGUGAUCCAGCAAUUCUGUGUGCAGGAUGAAGUUUUCGGAAUGUAAAGUGCUUUCAGUUGAGAAGCGGUACCAACAGAAGAAGUGACGGCUAAAUACGUACCAGCAGCCGCGGUAAUAC